GUUAGUGAAAGGGAUCAUACUGGGAGAACAUAUCCAUUGAUCCAUAGAGAGAGGCCUAUAUUAAUGAAGGGAUAUAAUUAGCUGUUAUGGUAUAAAACAAGAUGGAAGAAAAUAUAAAUAGAAAGAAUGAAGAUAACUGUUUGAAGUUUAAGUUUCAGACUCAAUUACUUGACGAAUUAUUUACUUGUAAGUUCCGAUGAACUUUUGAUAUUCAUACCAUUCAAAUCUUGAACAAAAUUUAUCUAGAAUUUAU
rnacentral:lncRNA from 1 species